rnacentral:rRNA from 1 species
AUGAUGAGUCGCCAACAGCAGCAUGAACCUCUUAGGACUUCAGCUAAUGGAGCCCCCCACCGGAAGCUUGAUAGGGAGGGUAGUGGAAGGCAUGAUAGUAAAUCACACCUGAUGAGAUCUUCAUCUGGUGGUUUUACCAGUGCAGAGAAUGGAGGCAAACUAGGUCAUGCAAACCCUUCACGGGAUCGACUAGUCUAUGUUAUGACACAAAUUAUUGGGCAUCAUGUGGACGUGCAUGUCAAAAAUGGAUCUGUUAUCUCUGGAAUCUUCCACGCAACAAACACCGAUAAAGACUUCGGAAUUAUCUUAAAAAUGGCACAGCCGAUAAAGGAUACUUCUGUGGGAGGACAAACUAAUCCCACUGAUGUUGUAAGAAAGCCGGAGACUAUGAUAAUACCAGCACGGGAGCUUGUUCAAGUUUUUGCCAAGGACGUAACACUAGGCGGUGAUGAACUGCCAAAAGGUCCUGUCCAUGACAAAAGGAAAGACUUGAUGAUAGAUUCUGCCAUCUCUCGUUCUCAUUUCCCUGAAGAGAGGGAGCUUGAACGCUGGGCACCAGAUGGAGGGGAUUCAGACUGCAUCGAAUUGGAAAAAUUUGACAGAAAGGGGCAUAGGAGCUGGGACCAGUUCGAGACAAAUGCAGCUUUGUUUGGGGUAAAGAGUACUUUCAAUGAAGAUCUUUAUACCACAAAGCUUGAGCGAGGUCCUCAUAUGAGAGAGCUUGAAAAGCAUGCUUCAAGGAUAGCCCGAGAAAUAGAGGGUGAAGAUACAGAAGAUCUUCAUCUUGCCGAGGAAAGAGGUUUAUACUUGGAUGAAGAUUUGGAGCAUGAUGAAGAGAUCAAAUAUUCUGCAGUUUGGAGGGAUACUGAUACCACAGUUAAACCCUUUACGAAUGUCUCAAGCAGGCCAGGCAGCAUGGAUACUAAAGAUUUGCCAGUGUGUUCAUCAACAGUGGAUGACAAAUCAUCUUCCCAUAUAUUUGGUGGUACUCAUUUAUCUGCCACUGCUGCAACUGGAGAGCUAGCAUCUGAAUACCAGUCAAACAAGCUUUUGCCUGCUGAUGCUAACAGGUUGGAUGGCAAGAGAAGUAAAGAUAGUAGCGGUGGCAAAGACAACAGGAUCUUGCAACCUGAGAAUACUUUACCUGAAGGGGUUAGGCCGCUGAUUUCUGAAGAUUUGGAAGGAACACCUUCAAGGUCGCGUGCAUCUGAGCCUUCAUCUUCUGGCCAAGGGAACAAGUCAUCAGAUGGUUUGGCACCAGAUUCGACUCUACCCAGCAAACUUCCUUCUGCGCCUGAAUAUGCGAAUUCCUCUCAAAGACCUGGCAGUUCUACACCAUUAACACCCGAGCGUGUUGCUGCAAACUCAGCUGCGAGUGCUGCUCCAGGCUUAUCACCAAGUUCUUCGAUGGGAUCUCUUAGCUCAGACAAAUCAAGUUUGAAUCCAAACGCUAAGGAAUUCAAAUUGAACCCUAAUGCUAAGAGUUUCACUCCCUUGACUUCUCCGAGGCCACCUCAUCCUCCAGCGCCUGAUGCAACAUACUAUUAUCCUAAUAACAUGGGAGCUACUCCUGGACCUGGUUUACCAGUUGGCAUGGGGUUCCCACAGGCGUAUGGUGGCCAGCCUGUUGUUUACAAUGCUCCGCCUGGAUCUUCUCCCCAGGGUUACAUGCAUCCUUCUGGGCAACAGUAUGGGCAGCAAAUGAUGAUGGGGCAGACCCGCCCUGUCUAUUAUUAUCCACCUGAGAUGCAGCAACAAUACAGAGGAAGGAACUUCUAG